rnacentral:rRNA from 1 species
AUAAGGGGUUGCUAAACUCGUGCCAGCAGCAGCGGUAAUACGAGUGCCCCAAGCGUUAUCCGGAAUUAUUGGGCGUAAAGGGUCCGCAGGCGGUUGUAUUAGUCUUUUGUGAAAGACCGGGGCUCAACCUCGGAACCGCAAAAGAAACGGUACAACUAGAGUAUGUGAGGGGUGUGUGGAACUCAUGGUGUAGGGGUGAAAUCCGUUGAUAUCAUGGGGAACACCGAAAGCGAAGGCAGCACACUGGCACAUUACUGACGCUCAGGGACGAAAGCGUGGGUCGCGAAUGGGAUUAGAUACCCCAGUAGUCCACGCCGUAAACGCUCCAGACUAGCUUUGUAGGGAAUCGACCCCCUGCGAGGCGUAGCUAACGCGUUAAGUCUGGCGCCUGGGUACUACGGCCGCAAGGCUAAAACUCAAAGGAAUAGACGGGGACUUGCACAAGCAGUGGAUCAUGUGGCUUAAUUCGAUGCUAAGCGACGAACCUUACCGAGGCUAGAAAUUUAGUGGAAUACGACCAGAAACGGACGUAGCCUUCGGGCCGCUAAACAGGUGAUGCAUGGCCGUCGUCAGUUCGUGGUUUGAAUUGUUCCCUUAAGUGGGGUAACGAACGCAACCCUCGUCUCGUGUUACAAGUGUCACGAGAUACUGCCCCCGCCUUUGUUUUUAAACAUUUAGUUUGAAAAUAGUGGCGGGGGAGGAAGGUGAGGAUGACGCCAGGUCAGCAUGUCCCUAGACGCCUCGGGCUGCACACAUGAUACAAUGGGUAUGACAACGAGAUGCAAUAUCGCAAGAUGGAGCAAACCUUUAGAAACAUAUCCUCAGUUCGGAUUGUAGGCUGAAACUCGCCUAUAUGAAGUUGGAAUUGCUAGUAAUCGCGGAUCAUCAACGCCGCGGUGAAUACGUUCUCAAGUCUUGUACUCACCGCCCGUCAAGUCAAGGGAGUUGGGAGCACCCGAAGCAUCACUUUAUGUGGUACUACGGUGAAUUCAAUAACAGGGACUAAGUCGUAACAAGGCACGGGUAGCGGAAGCUGUUCGUG